rnacentral:rRNA from 1 species
UACGUAGGGGGCAAGCGUUGUUCGGAAUUAUUGGGCGUAAAGCGCGCGCAGGCGGCGGAUUAAGUUUGGUGUUUAAGCCCGGGGCUCAACCCCGGAUCGCACUGAAAACUGGUUCGCUUGAGUGCGGGAGAGGAAAGUGGAAUUCCACGUGUAGCGGUGAAAUGCGUAGAGAUGUGGAGGAACACCAGUGGCGAAGGCGACUUUCUGGACCGUAACUGACGCUGAGGCGCGAAAGCGUGGGGAGCAAACAGG